UACGGAGGAUCCGAGCGUUAUCCGGAUUUAUUGGGUUUAAAGGGUGCGUAGGCGGGAGAUUAAGUCGGUGGUGAAAUUUUGCAGCUCAACUGUAAAAGUGCCAUUGAUACUGGUUUACUCGAGUGUGGAUGAAGUAGGCGGAAUUUGUGGUGUAGCGGUGAAAUGCAUAGAUAUCACGAGGAACUCCGAUUGCGCAGGCAGCUUACUAAACCAUAACUGACGCUCAGGCACGAAGGCGUGGGGAUCAAACAGGAUUAGAUACCCU
rnacentral:rRNA from 1 species